AGAUUGGAACGCUAGCGGGAUGCUUUACACAUGCAAGUCGAACGGCAGCGCGGACUUCGGUCUGGCGGCGAGUGGCGAACGGGUGAGUAAUAUAUCGGAACGUGCCCAGUAGCGGGGGAUAACUACGCGAAAGCGUGGCUAAUACCGCAUACGCCCUACGGGGGAAAGGGGGGGAUCGCAAGACCUUUCACUAUUGGAGCGGCCGAUAUCAGAUUAGCUAGUUGGUGAGUAAAGGCUCACCAAGGCGACGAUCUGUAGCUGGUUUGAGAGGACGACCAGCCACACUGGGACUGAGACACGGCCCAGACUCCGUACGGGAGCAGCAGUGGGAAUUUGGACAGUGGGGGAAACCUGAUCAGCCGAUCCCGGCGUGUGCGAUGAAGGCCUUGGUGUAAGCAGUUGUCGAGGAAGAACGACG
rnacentral:rRNA from 1 species